UAACGCGUGGGUUAUUUACCUCCGGGUGGGGAAUAACUCGGGGAAACUCGAGCUAAUACCGCAUAACACGUUUACGUCAAAGCAGCAAUGCGCCUGGAGAUGAGCCUGCGUCCGAUUAGCUAGUUGGUGGGGUAAUGGCCUACCAAGGCGACGAUCGGUAGCCGGCCUGAGAGGGCGGUCGGCCACACUGGCACUGAAACACGGGCCAGACUCCUACGGGAGGCAGCAGUGAGGAAUUUUGGGCAAUGGGCGAAAGCCUGACCCAGCAAUGCCGCGUGAACGAUGAAGUCCUUCGGGAUGUAAAGUUCGUAAGCAAGAGAAGAACACAAUGACGGUAUCCUGUGUAAGCCCCGGCUAACUACGUGCCAGCAGCCGCGGUAAUACGUAGGGGGCAAGCGUUGUUCGGAUUUACCGGGCGUAAAGGGCGCGUAGGCGGCGCGUAAAGUCGGACGUGAAAUCACUGGGCUUAACCUAGUGGCUGUGUCCGAUACUUGCGUGCUUUGAGUGCGGGAGAGGCAAUCGGAAUUCUCGGUGUAGCGGUGAAAUGCGUAGAUAUCGAGAGGAACUCCGGUGACGAAGGUGGGUUGCUGGACCGACACUGACGCUGAGGCGCGAAAGCUAGGGGAGCAAACGGGAUUAGAUACCCCGGUAGUCCUAGCCCUAAACGAUGAAUACUUGGUGUGCGGGUUUCUUAGUACCCGCGUGCCGUAGCUAACGCGAUAAGUAUUCCGCCUGGGGAGCAUGGUCGCAAGA
rnacentral:rRNA from 1 species